UGGGGAAUAUUGCACAAUGGGGGAAACCCUGAUGCAGCGACGCCGCGUGGAGGAAGAAGGUCUUCGGAUUGUAAACUCCUGUUGUUGGGGAAGAUAAUGACGGUACCCAACAAGGAAGUGACGGCUAACUACGUGCCAGCAGCCGCGGUAAAACGUAGGUCACAAGCGUUGUCCGGAAUUACUGGGUGUAAAGGGAGCGCAGGCGGGAAGACAAGUUGGAAGUGAAAUCUAUGGGCUCAACCCAUAAACUGCUUUCAAAACUGUUUUUCUUGAGUAGUGCAGAGGUAGGCGGAAUUCCCGGUGUAGCGGUGGAAUGCGUAGAUAUCGGGAGGAACACCAGUGGCGAAGGCGGCCUACUGGGCACCAACUGACGCUGAGGCUCGAAAGUGUGGGUAGCAAACAGGAUUAGAUACCCUGGUAGUCCACACCGUAAACGAUGAUUACUAGGUGUUGGGGGAUUGACCCCCUCAGUGCCGCAGUUAACACAAUAAGUAAUCCACCUGGGGAGUACGACCGCAAGGUUGAAACUCAAAGGAAUUGACGGGGGCCCGCACAAGCAGUGGAGUAUGUGGUUUAAUUCGAAGCAACGCGAAGAACCUUACCAGGUCUUGACAUCCGAUGCAUAGCACAGAGAUGUGUGAAAUCCUUCGGGACAUCGAGACAGGUGGUGCAUGGUUGUCGUCAGCUCGUGUCGUGAGAUGUUGGGUUAAGUCCCGCAACGAGCGCAACCCUUAUUGCCAGUUACUACGUUAAGAGGACUCUGGCGAGACUGCCGUUGACAAAACGGAGGAAGGUGGGGAUGACGUCAAAUCAUCAUGCCCUUUAUGACCUGGGCUACACACGUACUACAAUGGCGUUAAACAAAGAGAAGCAAGACCGCGAGGUGGAGCAAAACUCAAAAACAACGUCUCAGUUCAGAUUGCAGGCUGCAACUCGCCUGCAUGAAGUCGGAAUUGCUAGUAAUCGCGGAUCAGCAUGCCGCGGUGAAUACGUUCCC
rnacentral:rRNA from 1 species